rnacentral:rRNA from 1 species
GAUGAACGCUGGCGGCGUGCCUAAUACAUGCAAGUCGAGCGAACGGACGAGAAGCUUGCUUCUCUGAUGUUAGCGGCGGACGGGUGAGUAACACGUGGAUAACCUACCUAUAAGACUGGGAUAACUUCGGGAAACCGGAGCUAAUACCGGAUAAUAUUUUGAACCGCAUGGUUCAAAAGUGAAAGACGGUCUUGCUGUCACUUAUAGAUGGAUCCGCGCUGCAUUAGCUAGUUGGUAAGGUGACGGCUUACCAAGGCAACGAUGCAUAGCCGACCUGAGAGGGUGAUCGGCCACACUGGAACUGAGACACGGUCCAGACUCCUACGGGAGGCAGCAGUAGGGAAUCUUCCGCAAUGGGCGAAGGCCUGACGGAGCAACGCCGCGUGAGUGAUGAAGGUCUUCGGAUCGUAAAACUCUGUUAUUAGGGAAGAACAUAUGUGUAAGUAACUGUGCACAUCUUGACGGUACCUAAUCAGAAAGCCACGGCUAACUACGUG